GAUGAACGCUGGCGGCGUGCCUAAUACAUGCCAGUCGAGCGAACAGACGAGGAGCUUGCUCCUCUGACGUUAGCGGCGGACGGGUGAGUAACACGUGGAUAACCUACCUAUAAGACUGGGAUAACUUCGGGAAACCGGAGCUAAUACCGGAUAAUAUAUUGAACCGCAUGGUUCAAUAGUGAAAGACGGUUUUGCUGUCACUUAUAGAUGGAUCCGCGCCGCAUUAGCUAGUUGGUAAGGUAACGGCUUACCAAGGCAACGAUGCGUAGCCGACCUGAGAGGGUGAUCGGCCACACUGGAACUGAGACACGGUCCAGACUCCUACGGGAGGCAGCAGUAGGGAAUCUUCCGCAAUGGGCGAAAGCCUGACGGAGCAACGCCGCGUGAGUGAUGAAGGUCUUCGGAUCGUAAAACUCUGUUAUUAGGGAAGAACAAAUGUGUAAGUAACUAUGCACGUCUUGACGGUACCUAAUCAGAAAGCCACGGCUAACUAC
rnacentral:rRNA from 1 species